rnacentral:lncRNA from 1 species
GAGAGAGAGAGAGAGAAUAUGAGAGAGAGAAUAUGAGAGAGAAUAUGAGAGAGAGAAUAUGAGAGAGAAUGAUAGUAUGAGAGUGGGCAGAGCCUACUGGAAGACUUGGGAACACCACCCUAGGAAUGCCCAGAUGGAUGCAGAGGGCAAGGAUGGAACAUGGAACAACAGCAGUGGACUUCUGAUUCAAACCACGUCCCCUGACACAGCCUCUCCCAGCCUACUACUGAGAUGUCCAGCUGCAAUGAAGAAACCAUGACUAGAGAGCAUUUUGGACACGGGCCCUUGAGAGAAAUGAGCACACAACCUGCC